UUCAACACCAGCCAUGUUUUGAUUUAAAAAUAUCAAAAAGUACACAACAAGAUAGUCACACAUCACUACUAGGUGAAAAGAAAUGUAAAGGCAAUUUAUUUUUCUUUGUUAUUAUACCGUAAUAGCAGGUAUCCAGGGUGGAGCUGUUGACCAAUCUUGCCGAAAUUGCACUUUUUUAAUUAAACAAAGGCAAGAAGGAAAAUGGUAAAGAAAAGCAGGAAGUCAUUGCCCCAUUACACCCUAACAUCAAGGAAGACCAAAAGAAAUUAGAGGUCAGGCCACAUGAGCAUGAACUAUGAGCAUAAUUUCAUCACCUAGAGCCUCUCCCAGCCAAACCACACCUGGACACAGCCUGUCAACUAGGGGUACUACAAGGGCCUCUUCAAAGUGAUACCUUUUUUGUUGAACUGGUUACUUUCUGUGUUUCUGUCAUGAUUGUUUCCUGAAUGCGAUUUGAAUAGUUUUCUCAGCAUUCUUUUGCACUUGGCUUUGCAGUGAAUCAUUAAACCUGCCAACUUGGCUCUGGGAUCUUCAGACUGUAUCAUUGCUACAUUCCUUAUAUAUCUCUUGUCUAUUCCUUAUAUAACUUAUUGUUCUGUAUUGGAUUUAAUGUGUUUUACCUUUUUCCUCUGUGAGGCCCUUGCUAGCCAUUAAGAUAAAUAACAGAAAUGAGCAUUGAAAGUUCUGCUCUGUAGGCUGGAGAGAAAAAAAUGCAGAUAUGGUUUAAAUAAAAUAUGUGUUGCUUAUGUAUGUGAUUUUUAUUAAGACAAGUAUGUCUUCAUUACACAGCUGGUAAUUUCUUCAUAUACCAAACUGAAUAAAAAGGUGACCUGGAUUGUUAA